AACGCACCUUGCGCCUUCUGGUAUUCCGGAAGGCAUGCCUGUUUGAGUGUCAUGAACACCUCACCCCCUCGGGUUUCCGAUUGGGUGGAUUUGGGCGCUGCCAGUCACAUGGCUCGCCUUAAAAGCAUUAGCGGUUGUUGACUUAAUAAGUUUCGUCUUGUCGACCGCUUCUAAUCUCCUUAGGGAUGUCUUCGGACACUUCAUGAUCUGACCUCAAAUCAGGUAGGACUACCCGCUGAACUUAA
rnacentral:misc_RNA from 1 species